UACGUAGGGACCAAGCGUUGUUCGGAUUUACUGGGCGUAAAGGGCGCGUAGGCGGCAAUUCAAGUCAGCUGUGAAAUCUCCGGGCUUAACUCGGAACGGUCAGCUGAUACUGCUUUGCUAGAGUGCAGAAGGGGCAAUCGGAAUUCUUGGUGUAGCGGUGAAAUGCGUAGAUAUCAAGAGGAACACCUGAGGUGAAGACGGGUUGCUGGGCUGACACUGACGCUGAAGCGCGAAAGCUAGGGGAGCGAACGGG
rnacentral:rRNA from 1 species